GCAGCAGGUGCGGGGCGGCGGCCGCGCUUGCCGCUCGACUCCGCAGCUGCUCGUUCUGCUUCUCCAGCUUGCGCACCAGCUCC
rnacentral:miRNA from 1 species